rnacentral:rRNA from 1 species
GAUGAACGCUAGCUACAGGCUUAACACAUGCAAGUCGAGGGGCAGCAUGGUCUUAGCUUGCUAAGGCCGAUGGCGACCGGCGCACGGGUGAGUAACACGUAUCCAACCUGCCGUCUACUCUUGGACAGCCUUCUGAAAGGAAGAUUAAUACAAGAUGGCAUCAUGAGUCCACAUGUUCACAUGAUUAAAGGUAUUCCGGUAGACGAUGGGGAUGCGUUCCAUUAGAUAGUAGGCGGGGUAACGGCCCACCUAGUCUUCGAUGGAUAGGGGUUCUGAGAGGAAGGUCCCCCACAUUGGAACUGAGACACGGUCCAAACUCCUACGGGAGGCAGCAGUGAGGAAUAUUGGUCAAUGGGCGAGAGCCUGAACCAGCCAAGUAGCGUGAAGGAUGACUGCCCUAUGGGUUGUAAACUUCUUUUAUAAAGGAAUAAAGUCGGGUAUGGAUACCCGUUUGCAUGUACUUUAUGAAUAAGGAUCGGCUAACUCCGUGCCAGCAGCCGCGGUAAUACGGAGGAUCCGAGCGUUAUCCGGAUUUAUUGGGUUUAAAGGGAGCGUAGAUGGAUGUUUAAGUCAGUUGUGAAAGUUUGCGGCUCAACCGUAAAAUUGCAGUUGAUACUGGAUAUCUUGAGUGCAGUUGAGGCAGGCGGAAUUCGUGGUGUAGCGGUGAAAUGCUUAGAUAUCACGAAGAACUCCGAUUGCGAAGGCAGCCUGCUAAGCUGCAACUGACAUUGAGGCUCGAAAGUGUGGGUAUCAAACAGGAUUAGAUACCCUGGUAGUCCACACGGUAAACGAUGAAUACUCGCUGUUUGCGAUAUACAGCAAGCGGCCAAGCGAAAGCGUUAAGUAUUCCACCUGGGGAGUACGCCGGCAACGGUGAAACUCAAAGGAAUUGACGGGGGCCCGCACAAGCGGAGGAACAUGUGGUUUAAUUCGAUGAUACGCGAGGAACCUUACCCGGGCUUAAAUUGCAGAUGAAUUACGGUGAAAGCCGUAAGCCGCAAGGCAUCUGUGAAGGUGCUGCAUGGUUGUCGUCAGCUCGUGCCGUGAGGUGUCGGCUUAAGUGCCAUAACGAGCGCAACCCUUGUUGUCAGUUACUAACAGGUUCCGCUGAGGACUCUGACAAGACUGCCAUCGUAAGAUGUGAGGAAGGUGGGGAUGACGUCAAAUCAGCACGGCCCUUACGUCCGGGGCUACACACGUGUUACAAUGGGGGGUACAGAGGGCCGCUACCACGCGGGUGGAUGCCAAUCCCAAAAACCUCUCUCAGUUCGGACUGGAGUCUGCAACCCGACUCCACGAAGCUGGAUUCGCUAGUAAUCGCGCAUCAGCCACGGCGCGGUGAAUACGUUCCCGGGCCU